rnacentral:lncRNA from 1 species
CCGAACAGCAUGGAGUGAGUGCCAGGCUGACACAACUAAUAGGUGUUGCCUUUUACCCACUCUGUGAACCUGCAAUGAUCCCUGUGAGAUGGAAACUAAAGAUUUCAUCCCUCCUGGACACAUCACUUUGGAGGAUGUUUCAAGAAGGGUAGAAGCACCUCAGUGGAAGAAAGAGUGGUUUACUGAAGUAAAUGGAACCUUUCAAGAGGACACCUUUAUAAUGCCAGAGAUAGGGAGAAAACGCAGAAAGUACUCAGACUGAAAAAGAUGUUCAGAAAGAAAAAAAAAAUUCUCUUCCAGGAAAUAAGUUGCUGAAAAGAAAGGAAAAGAAAGAAAAAGGAAAGAAAAGACUCAAGAACUGGUCUUAUUCAUGAAUGAAAGAGGAGGGAUUCAAGGAAACCAUAGCACAGAAGA